ACACAAUCUUUGCAGGGGGAAAAGAAGUAUGAGACAGAAGGAUUUUUCUAGGGAAUCUGAACCAUAUUAGCUCUGAUCCUUCUAGGGCCAGAGAUUGCUGGUCACUAACCAUUUCCAACUGUAAUUUUAUUGCUGCAAUAUGCAAUUUGCAAUAUGUUGCUACUAAGGGGGGAAAGAUUUUGUUGAACAGCAGCAAAUCCUCAAGAUAUAAAUGAGUAUAAACAGAUUUAACACAGAGCUGCCUUUGUCAAUCAACCUGUUCCUGUCUUCUCUGUGCCUGUUUACUAUAAUUGAAUUGGUGGUUCGAACUCCUUGAACUUUGUAUUCCAUUAAAAAUUGCACUGGGGCUGUGUGGGCAAACAGGACACCUUCUGAAAAGAAACAUGUCGGAAAGACGGGGGAAGGGAGAUCAAGAACAAAAGGCUUUUAACUUAUGCUGUACAUGAUAAUGAUAGACUUCCUUCAAAGAGCACUGGGACUUUCAAAAAUCACAGGAGUGCAGAGAGGUUACCCAUAGAUAUUUGAAUUAUUAACACAUCUUUAAACAUUAAAGAAAGAUGUAUUGAUAGAAUAUCAAUGUGAUAAAUUAUUUACUUACAGAAAGUAAAGCAUGGAAGGAAAAUUAACUGUUCAUUGCUCCUUGGUAAGAGAAGGCCUUCUAGAAAGGCCUCAUAAAAGGAUUUGUUAGCACUAAUAAGCUUGUUAAUAGCUUUCAGAGUAGAUGACCUUAAAACGGUAUGGAAGCUUAGAAAAUUAGAGAAAAAAGGUGGCAUCUUGAAUACUGGACAAAUUGCUAUUGUUGUUCAGCUUAUGAAAGGUUUGGAGUUACACAAAAUCAUAUCAGACAGAAAGAGAUGGAAAUGGGAGAUAAAUAACUUGGAUAAAGGAAUGGAGGAGGCAAAAGAGAGCUUUGGCAGGUAAGGAGUAUUUGUUGUCAGGCACAAGCUUAAAUACCGGUAAGUUCGCUCUGCUUGGGUUCAAUGAGUGUGUUUCACAGGGAAGCUCCACACACCUGGUUUCCUUCCUUCUUUCUCUGGACCUUGGUUCCUAGCCAGCCUGCCUGCUUGAACUCCUGGACCACCUGACAAUGCCUGUACCUAUCUUGACCUUGGACUGUCUGACCACACUUGUGCUUGAUGCCCGUCCUGACCUCGAACUGCCUGACAUGCUGUAGCUGAUGCCUGCCAACACACACAUAUCCAGCUUCCUCCCUUUUCUCUUAGCCAGCUCUUGUAUGCCUUCUAUAUACAUGUUAAUUGCUUAAAAUAUAUUUCGUCUUUGAAUUAUUUUAU